AGGCGCCCAAAGGUCCCCUCAGUCUGGUCGGCAAUCAGACGGCGAGUGUAAAUGCACAAGGGGGCUUGACUGCGAGACCUACCGGUCGAGCAGGGACGAAAGUCGGGAUUAGUGAUCCCAUGGUGGCACGUGGGUGCGCCAUGGCUCAACGGCUAAAAGGUACUCCGGGGAUAACAGGCUUAUACCCCCCAAGAGUCCAUAUCGUCGGGGGUGUUUGGCACCUCGAUGUCGGCUCGUCGCAUCCUGGGGCUGGAGCAGGUCCCAAGGGUCGGGCUGUUCGCCCGUUAAAGCGGCACGCGAGCUGGGUUCAGAACGUCGUGAGACAGUAAGACCAUUGCUGUCUAUAAAUUCGGCUAUAUGCUGGGAACUCCGUGUAUCCGACGGUACUCGUUCAUGUCACACCCGACACAUGGGGUGGAGACAUGGACAAGUGAAAAUCCGAUCGGUGCGGACAAUCAGCAGGGAAGGCUGGAGUCCUAGAGUAAGCGGAUUCGUGGAAGAGAAACGCCAAAGAGCGAGCGGGGUAAUACGACGCCUCAUUCGCGGGCGAGUCACCAUGAGUUCGUCAGGAACCCAGAACCCUCAGAGACUAUACGCCGAACACCUAUCCUCGGAUGGGUGAAGAUAUAGUCCGAGCUGUAUGGCGACAUACAGAGUCAGGCAGAAAUGACCUGGCCUCCGCUCACCCGAAGUGAGCGGUAGUAACAAUACUGUCGGUCCCUAUCCGCCGCAGGCGCAGGAGAUUUGAAGGGAGCUGCCCCUAGUACGAGAGGACCGGGUUGGACGUACCUCUGGUGUGCGAGUUGUACUGCCAAGUGCACGGCUCGUUGGCUAUGUACGGACGGGAUAAGCGCUGAAAGCAUCUAAGUGCGAAGCCCACCCUAAGAUGAGAUCUCCCACCCGUAAGGGUUAAGGCCCCUGGUAGAUGACCAGGUUGAUAGGCCGGACGUGUAAGCACAGCAAUGUGUUCAGCGGACCGGUACUAAUAGGCCGAGGGCUUGGAUAG
rnacentral:rRNA from 1 species